UUGGGAACAGAGAUGGGGAGAAAGGGCAAACCUGGAAUUGGAUUCAAAAUGAUCUGCAAAGGCUGAAUGGGUCCACAAAUAAGAUGUACAGUGAAACACAGGAAAGCGCCUUCUUCCUAAAGGGUAGAACUGGUCUAGUUCUUUUGUGUGUAUCACUGUUUCUUUGAAAGCCCUUAAAAGAGGCUUCUGUAGGUGGCAGCUCCCACGGGGUAAGGAGAGGCAGCACCACACAGCAGCUCUUUUCUCCCUCUGGUGGUUGAGCUCUGACCAAUCCCUGCUCUAUGGAGACAAGGCUAGAGCUGAGCAACAAGACUUUGGCUCAAAGGACUAGGAGUUGGGAAGUGAAAAGGUCUGACCCAGGAACAUUUCUCCAUCCUUCCUUUACUGAAGCUCUUUCCGUCUAGUGUAUUGAGGACAAAAAAGUGAGAUGGGAGAAAAGGAAGCCAGAAGACAAAGAAGUCUGUUGAUCCAGUUCAUGGAGGUCAACCUUCUGUGACGGAAUGCAAGAUGGCAAAGUGCGGAGAGUAGAGAUGUGCACCACAGUCCUUUUUAAGACACAUCCUUGACAAACCUUGAUGAUUUGAGUCCGAGUGUACUUGUGGUACAUUUGAAUAUAGUGUUUAUUCUGACUGAAAUGCCUCUUUAUUCUCCACAGGCACAAUAACCUCUUUACCGCUAACCCAAUCUCCAUCUGGCUUAAGAUGUAGUUCAAGACACAAAUCAAGUGUUACCUCCCUGGGAAGGUAGGAACUAUUUGUGUAUAGUCCUGAUAAACUGAAUC